GCGGGGGCCGGGCGCUGCUGCGAGCAAAGGAGCACCAGCUGCAGCCCGCAAGUUGCUAAAUUAGCCGGGCUGUUGUUUUGCUUUUAAUUUUUGUGCGAAUUCAAGAAUAGGUCGCGGAUGUCUUGGCAGCGCGUGAAUGAGACCCUUUCCGAAAGAAUUCACCUUGCUGAAGGGCCGCUGUCGGGCGCCCAGAUCCCCAGUGCGAAGCCUGCGCUCGCCCUCCCGCGGCUGGUGCCCUGGCCUCCCUUCCCGCGGGCCUGGCCCCCCAACCCCGCGCCCCUCCCCAGGGGCCCACCGGCUCCUCUGCCUCCCCAGACCGCGGGCCUGCGCCCUUGCAGCCGGGAAGAGUGAGCCAGGCCCGGCGUGGCCUCUGCACCCCCUCGCAGUCCGGGAGCCCUCGCCCAGCCCAGUGGCCAUGCAGAAGGUUCUGGAAGUGACAGGCCUGCUCCUGGAGGAGCUCUACUCUACGCUGAAAAUGGCAAGGGACCAUGACUCUCAUCUAGUUCACCCCGUGAAGCUCCAGUGGCCACCCACCAGUGACUGUAGUCCCACCUUGAGAAUGAGUGCCAAGAACCUGUGCCCUUGUAGGUAAAUUUACAUAUACACAAGGAUGAAACAUUCUCAAUUUCUACCAACAUCUGCCCCUGCCACAAGACAGUCACAUUCAAAUUCUGACAAAAACAUAGUGAAUUUUCAUAGUAAUAUCUCAGCCUCAGAGUUCAACAGCCUCAACAUCCAAGAGCGCAUGAGUUGAGACAUCCACCCCCGGCCUCCCACCCAGCUCAGCCCCAGCCCAGCCCCUGGCAGACUCACCAUGCUCUGGCUCCCCACUGAGCGGGCUGACAGGCAAGACCCCAUCCAAGGGGCCUGGAUCAGCUUUGGAAGACCCUCAACUGGUCUCAGGGGCCUGGGAGGAAAAGGAAAGUCCCUUUCCAACAGCAGAGAACAAGGUGGCUCAGAUUGUGUCAUGCAAAUGUUUAACUCUAAUCUAUGGAGAUUUUGGAGCAUUCCUGGCCUCACCAGGAAGAACCAAGAAAAUUCAAAUUUAAAAAAAAAUGGAAGAAGAAGAGAGUACAGAACUAUUUAUAUAGCCUUUAGCCAAGGUGGGCCAUGCUAGGCCAUGCUGCCUGGGUCCCAGAUAUUCCUGGCUGAUCAGGGGCAAAAUUGAGCAGAGGUACGAAAUUAAACCUUGUCCCUGGACUGACUGCAUUCUGGAGUUUAGCCAUCAGUAUGGGUUUUCUAAGAGUCAUAUUUCACAAGCGAGGGACUUCGUUGUGACACGAGAAGGGAUGUGUUCAGGCGUCUGAUACUCUACUCUCAUGGUUUCGCCCCCUCUUCCCAGAAAGCAUAAGGGAGCCAGUCUGCGCUACCACUCCAACCAGACCAGAGACAGCGGAGAUAAUUUCAUAUUUUUGCAUAUCGUCAAGGCUUUUUUUAUUUCAGAUUUUUU
rnacentral:lncRNA from 1 species